GGCCCAGAUUUGAAGUGGAGUAGAUAAGUAGGAUCAGGUAAGCCUAAUAAUCCAUUCUACUUCGAAUUUGGGUCC
rnacentral:pre_miRNA from 1 species